AGAGGAGUCCGAAGGGAUGCUAAAAAUCGACGGCUCCGUCGUCGAAGAUGGUGUCUGAACUGUCGGCUGGCUAGGAGUGGAAUCCGCAUUUUCUAAUUUAAUGUGCGAUACCUAUAACAAAACAUGGCAAGAAAAUCAUUAGGCGGAAGGUCCUCUUGCUUUGACCCAUAGAGCGUUGAAGACGUGGCCUGUCUGGACGAGAGUCACCGGAGCUGUCCUCGGUCGGACUGCUCGGACUCAACUGGCUCAUCAACGUUUCCCCUGAGAAGACGAUCGCCAUAGUCUUUACAUCAGGCAUCUAGUCUACCAGUCUAGUCUACCAGUUUCUACUCAUGCUGCUGUUCGAAGGUGCCUCUAUCACUCUAUAGACACUGUGAUGAACCUUCGUGUGUUGUAUGGAACCGAGACGGGAUACGAUACUGAAAACAGGUGUUCACCAGGACCUUGUGUCUUUGAUGGAGUGCCGUUGUUAAAGAUACGACCACUAAGGACUAACGGAUUAAUGGAGGGAUCUGGGAUUUUUACCUGACGAGUGCCUAAACUCUACGGAAGAGACAAAGCGUAGUUUGGACGUCUUUUGAUGAGGUAAGAUAGUGGGAUGAGGCUUAACAUUGUUACGUUCAUCGCUAGUAGAAGAUGGUUGGGAUCUAUCUGAAACAUGCCACAUUGAACGUCUAAUAUGAGAUAUAUAUUACGUGACAAUAUCUCGAUCAUUACCUCCGAGAGAAAUUCUUCAAGAUGCACGCGACAUCUUCCUCUGCUUGUUUCCAUCUCAAAAAUACUUUUCAAAAUUCAUUAAUCAUCUACGACGUAAGCACGACGUAUUCACGUGAGUUUUUUUUUUUUUAAUUGAGCACGCAAUCGCCUCUGACAAAGUAAUGUAACAUCAGGAUAACCCAUUGUCAGUGAGGGAUGAUGAGAAACAGAGAGAGAGAGAGAGAGAGAGGGAGAAGAAAAUAAAAGACAGAUCAGUGAAGACAAUGAAGUCGUGAAGAGUAAAAGAACAUAGAGGGUAGUUUUGAGUGAAGAAUGUCGAGGCGAAGGCGUUCCUGGUGCAGAGUGGUUAUGCAACGAUUAACGGGAUACCAACUGUUGGACAUUACCAUUGUCUAAAUACUGCUAUGUAUAGUAAGUUCGGUGUGGACUUAGGUAACGUUACAAACAAACGAUAAUGAGUAUAUAUACAUAUAUGUAUAUAAUAUGUAUGUAUAUACUAAUAGAAUAUAACAUAAGGAUGGUAUACAGCAAAAAGGCAAAAUAUACAGAACGACGAGUCAAAUGAUAUAAGUGGUGACAGUUAAUUGUCACUAUGGGCUCGAAAGGAAGUGGGGAACGAAGAAAAAACUAUAAAAGCACAUAAGGGGGAAUUAUUAAUUUCGAGUAAAUUCAUAACGUACGAUAUAGUGAAAUAGCAUAAAGAAUAUACACACGUACAGGAUAUAUAUCGUGAGAAUAAAUAUAAAGUCACGUAGAA